rnacentral:sRNA from 1 species
AUAAAAGCCCAAUAUCUCCAAGAUGGCUGAAUAGGAAUAGCUCUGCUCUAUAGCUCCCAGUGAGAUCGAUGCAGAAAAGGGGUGAUUUCUGCAUUUCCAACUGAGGUACCUGGUUCAUCUCAUUGAGACUGGUCAAACAGUGUGACUGAGGACCCAACAGUGUGCUCCUUGCUUGGAGGCUAAUGAUGAGCUCCUAAUUUCCCUGUGGACUUGGCUUCUACAAGACAGGCUUCUGGAGACGCUGUGGAUUCUCUCCUGAGCGACUAGGGGCUGGCAGGAAGGGCAGGCGCUUGGUGCUGCAUCUCAAUCCCUGCAGCCCCAGGAGCAGCGGCAGCAGGAACAUGUAUGGAUUUAUCAACACCUGUCUGCAAUCUCUUGUGACAGAGAAAUUUGGCGAAGAAAUAUGGGAAAAAUUGAAAACUUCUGCAGAAGUACAAGAUGCCUUCAUGACCUACACAAUGUAUGAUGACAUCAUCACCAUUAAGCUCAUCCAAGAGGCCUGCAACAUUCUGGGUGUCUCCAUGGAAGCCAUCCUGAAACUCUUUGGAGAAUACUUCUUUCAAUUCUGUAAGAUGUCUGGCUAUGACAGGAUGCUACGGACACUGGGAGGAAAUCUCAUGGAGUUUAUUGAAAACCUAGAAGCCCUCCACAGUUACCUGGCACUCUCUUAUCAGGAGAUGAAUGCACCAUCGUUUCGUGUGGAGAGAGGAGCAGAUGGGAAAAUGUUUUUCCAUUACUACUCGGGUAGAGGUGGUCUGUGCCACAUUGUACAGGCCCUCCUGGCAGCUUUCCUCAGGAUGAAGGAGAAGUAUUUGAAUGUCUCUUCUUAUCCUGUGAAAAAAUUCCACUGGGAUGUUGUGAGAAGCAUAGUCAUGUUUGGAAAAGGGCAUCUCAUGAACACCUUUGAGCCAAUUUAUCCUGAGAGACUCUGGAUUGAAGAGAAGACAUUCUGCUAUGCUUUUCCUUUCCACAUUGUAUUUGAUGAAUCACUACGGGUGAAGCAAGCCGGAGUGAACAGUCAGAAGUACGUACCAGGACUCCAAACCCAGAAGAUUCAACUGGAUGAGUAUUUCUCCAUCAUUCAUCCUCAAGUUACCUUCAACAUUUUCAGCAUCCUCAAAUUUAUCAACAGUCAAUUUGUCCUGAAGACACGAAGAGAAAUGAUACCUGUAGCAUGGCAAAGUCAGACCACACUCAAACUUCGAGUCCAGAUGAUCUGGAUGGAGUGCAUGCGGUGCAUGGUGUACCUGUGCUCUCCAAAGUUCCGCAGCCUGCAAGAGCUGGAAGAACUCAAUAUGCAUCUUUCUGACAUCGCCCCCCACGACACCACCAGGGAUCUCAUCCUCCUGAACCAGCAGCGGCUGGCUGAGAUAGAGCUGUCCAACCAGCUGGAAAGGAAGAAGGAGGAGCUACGGGUCCUCUCCAAGCACUUGGCCAUUGAAAAGAAGAAAACAGAGACCUUACUUUGUGCCAUGCUGCCCAAACAUGUGGCCAACCAGCUGAGGGAGGGCAAAAAGGUGGCUGCAGGAGAAUGUAAAAGCUGCACGAUUCUUUUCAGUGAUGUAGUGACAUUUACUAACAUCUGUACUGCCUGUGAACCUAUACAAAUAGUGAACAUGCUGAACUCCAUGUACUCCAAGUUUGACAGAUUAACCAGUGUGCACGCGGUCUAUAGUAGAAACAAUAGGAGAUGCUUAUAUGGUGGUAGGAGGUGUACCAGUGCCUUUUGGAAGCCAUGCUCAAAGAGUGGCUAAUUUUGCCUUGGGGAUGAGAAUUUCUGCAAAGGAAGUGAUAAAUCCUGUUACUGGAGAACACAUCCAGGUAGAGAGCAAUUGAGUACUUGGCUUAAUGCCAAACAUCUCACACACAAAAGUAGAAUUCUGCUUAUGUGCUU